GCCAGGGUAGUGUAGUGGUUUGAGCACUGGACUAUGAUUCUGCAGACUCAGGUUCGAAUCCUGGCACGGCCA